rnacentral:tRNA from 2 species
GCUCGGUAGGCGGUGCGCAGGUGCUCGGCUGCCUGGCGGGCGGCUUCGGCUUGCUGGCUGUGGUGGCGGGUGCGGUGCCAGUGCUGGGCG